rnacentral:rRNA from 1 species
UACGGAGGAUGCAAGCGUUAUCCGGAUUUAUUGGGUUUAAAGGGUGCGCAGGUUGUUUGAUAAGUCAGUGGUGAAAGUCUGUCGCUUAACGGUAGGAUUGCCAUUGAUACUGUUAGACUUGAAUAUGGAUGAGGUGGGCGGAAUGUGUAGUGUAGCGGUGAAAUGCAUAGAUAUUACACAGAACACCGAUUGCGAAGGCAGCUUACUAAUCCAUCAUUGACGCUGAGGCACGAAAGCGUGGGGAUCAAACA